rnacentral:miRNA from 1 species
AAUGGAUGCGAUGGUUCCCAUGC